rnacentral:tRNA from 1 species
GUGGGUAUAGCUCAGUGGUAGAGCACAUGCUUAGCAUGCAUCACGUCCUGGGUUCAAUGCCCAUACCUCCA